CCUUAGGGCAGAUUUUCCGAAGCCUCAAAGGACGAUUUUGAAAUUAUUCGAAACCUUAUGGCAGGCCAGUGUAUUUAACUCAACCUUUUGAUUUCAAACGUCGACCAGCCUAGCUAGUGGUAGUACAAAUAGCAGUUAUCUGUUCAAUGGUAAUCACAACUCCCCUGUCUUGUAUUCUCCAAAGCCUUUUUGUUAUCCUAAUAGCAUGUCCUUUGUUCUACAAGAGAAUAUGGCUGAGCAUGCCGUCAUCGCCUCUGCUGAGGCAAUCCUGAAGGGCUUGAUAACCCCUGUAAACCAGCAGAUCAGCCUAGCAUGGGGUUUCGAGAAAAACCUUGUAAAGCUCCGCGACAGGUUUACUAUGAUCCAAGCUCUGUUAUGUGAAGCUGAGAAAGGGAGACCAACAUCAAAACCCUUGAAAGUGUGGCUAAAGCGCCUCGAUGGUGUAACCAGUGACGCCGAGAACCUGCUGGACAAGUUGAAGUACGAAGACAUUCGAAGGAAGGUUGAGGUACAAAACCGAUUGGAAAACAUGGUACGCGACUUCUUCUCCCUCAAAAAUCAAGUCGCAUUUCGUUUCCUGAUGGCUAAUAGGGUCAAUGAUAUCAACUUGUUAUUAGAUGACAUUAUCAAAGACAUUGGCUUUACUACGGCAAAUAACCUCGUAGGUACUAGUGGCGUUGAACCUCGGGAAUUCAGGCUGACUGUACCCUAUAUAGAUGAGACAGUAGUUGUGGGGAGGGAAGAUGAUGUCUCUAAAGUACUUAAGAUGUUGCGCAACUCUGACGUGGAAGACGUCAUUGCCAUUGUAGGAAUGGCCGGGCUAGGGAAAACUACCCUUGCUAAGCUAGUUUACAAAGAUAAGGAGGUUGUGAGUAAUUUCGAUGGUGGGAGAAUGUGGAUUUGUGUGUCAGAUAAUUUCAAAGUUGAAAGGCUGUUGAACGAGAUGGUUGAAUCUCUUACUAUAACAAAAUCUGACUUACAAAAUGUUGAAGCAAUAGUGCAAAAGCUUGCAGAAAAAUUAAAACGCAAAAAGUAUUUGCUUGUGUUAGAUGAUAUUUGGAAUAGAAGUGAAAGCGAAUGGCAACGCAUGAGAGAUUCUUUGCUAGGAAUCGGUGGCUCUAAGGGAAGCAAAAUUAUAGUCACAACCCGCCAUACGGAUGUGGUAACAACCAUGCAGAAGAUAUUUCCCUGUCUCACUCAUCAUUUGCUCGGACUAUCGCCUAAGGCUAGUUUGACCAUGUUUAAGAAAAAAGUAUUUGCAAAUGGAGGACCAAUAGAAACUCAAUCUUUGUUGAAUAUUGGUGAAAGAAUGGUAGAGAAGUGUAAGGGUGUGCCCUUAGCAAUAAAUGCAUUAGGAGGCGUAUUGGGGACUAGGAAGUAUGAAAGUGAUUGGCUUAACGUUGAGAAGAGUGGAACGUGGAUUUCCCUUGGAGAUAGCAAUGACAUCCUACCAGUAUUAAGGCUUAGUUUCGAUGACUUACCAUCACCUUCUUUAAAGCAUUGUUUUGCUUAUUGUUCUGUUUUUCCAAAGGACAAAAUCAUAAUAAAGAGUGAGUUGAUUCAGCUGUGGAUGGCUCUAGGUUAUCUUCAGCCUCCUUUAGGAACAAAUCGGGAAGCGGAAGAUGUAGGUGAUGAAUAUUUUAACGUCUUGGUGCACAGGUCAUUGUUCCAAGAAGUUGAAUUGGAUGAUUAUGGUAAUAUUACAUGUUGCAAGAUGCAUGAUCUUGUGCAUGAUCUUGCUCUGACUGUCUCGGAGGGUAAUUGUUUGACUUUGGAGGCUAGAGAGGAGAAGGACUAUCUUGACGUUAAACAUCUGUGGUUGUCUCGUGGAGAAGAAACAAGGUUACAAAUUUCAAAAGAAAAUGUUGGAAAACUAAGGACGCUGUUUUCAAUCGGGUAUCUCCCCAUAAACACCGAAGAUGUCAAAUGUAUACGGGUCUUGAGUAUACUAAAAUCUGGUGUGGAAGAAUUUCCGAUUUCGAUAGCGAAGUUCAUACAUUUAAAAUAUCUUGACCUCUCCGAGUCUUCUUUUGAGAAAGUGCCAGAUUUUAUUACUAAGCUCUAUAAUUUGGAAACACUCAGAUUGCCAAAAGUCACAGAAUUUCCGAAAAAAUUUCACCAGCUGGUUAGCAUGCGACAUCUUUGUAUGGAUGAUAGCAAAUCUAGUAAAGGGAUUCCAGCAUUGAUAGGGGAUUUGACUUCUUUGCAGACUUUAACUUUCUUUGUUGUGGGUGAUGGUAAGGGCCAUAAAAUUGAGGAGUUGGGACGUUUGAGCAAGCUAAGAGGCAAGUUACAGAUUUACAAUCUCCAAGAAGUUAGAGAGAGAGAAGAAGCAGAAAAAGCAAAUAUGCAAGGAAAAGCAAACAUCCAAGAGUUGGUGUACCACUGGGCCCAUGGGGACAUUACGGAAUCAUGUGUCGAGCAUGAAGAAGGGUUGGAAGGACUUCAACCCCACAGGAACCUUAGGGGAUUAAUUCUUAGGGGUUUUGGAGGACUAAGGUUUGCAUCAUGGAUGCGAACAAGAGAUGCUCAGUCACUUCAGAAUUUGGUAAGAAUCGAAUUGAAGGACUGCGGACUUUGUGAGCAAAUUCCAACGCUCGGACACCUUCCACUUCUUGAAGUUGUUGAAAUGGAUGGCUUGCAUAAUCUGAAUUGUAUUGGUAGUGAAUUCUAUGGAUUGGAUGUUGGCAUUAGUAGUAAUAGUAGCAGUAGUAGGGCAGCAAGAGCAAGAGCAGUUUUUCCAGCAUUGAGAAAACUCACUCUUAAAAAUAUUCCCAAACUAGAAAAAUGGUUAGACGUAUCAUUAUUGCCUGCUGCUACCACGAACAUGGAGUUUUUCCCUCGCCUAGAGGAGUUAUCAAUUUCAGAGUGCCCUCGGUUGAUAACCAUUCCGGGUAAUUUGUUAUCCAUCCAGAGGAUAAAUAUUUCAUCCAACUCUUGUGACUUCAUUAAUAAUAAACCGUUAUACCACCCCUUUCGGUAUCAUUUCUUCAAUCUCUCCUUGGAAACGGCCAAGACUCCCAAGGGGGGCAGCAGUAGACAAUGGGCGAAAGAACGACCCAUGUAUAGCCCCUCCUUGAACUUACUGGUAGAUGAGGAUUCGGAGAAUAUUGUCAUUUUGGUUGAAGAUUUGCUAGAAAAAACCAUUAAAUCCCUAAGAUGUCUGCAAAUCUGCCAAGUAUCUAAACUGCGUUAUUUUCCAACCCAGCUACUAAACCUAACGUUUCUGGAGGAGUUAGAGAUAGCACAGUGUUUCGGCCUAGAGUCUUUUUUACAAGACACGGAAGCAGCAGUAUUCAACCGGUUAAAGUAUCUUAAAGAGCUGCGCAUUGACCGUUGCGAUGAGUUGAGAUGUUUGCCAAAGGGGUUGCUAAAACCAACCCUUGAAACAUUAGAGCUGUAUGGUUGUUUUAGUUUAAGAAUGACACACCCAGAUGAAUUGCGCAGCCUCAAAUCCCUUCAGAAUCUGAAUAUCAAAUUCUGUCCAGGAUUGGCAAGUUCUUGGCGGGAGGGGCUGUUCUGCCUUGGAAGCCUACGAUAUUUGGGGAUAGCUAGAUUCUUAACAGAGCAUGAACAUUUCCCCUGGCCCUCCACAAGUGCUGAUGCCUCCACAAGUGAUGAUGCUGCAAACGUAGAGUUUGUCGAGCAGUUCCCGGCCCUCAUCUCCCUGGAGGGUCUAUAUUUAGGUUAUAGUGUAAUCAAGCAUCUGCCCGAUCAACUUCAGCACCUCACUGCCUUGAAAACGUUGCAAAUUGACACAUUCCAGGAUUUGGAAGCUCUUCCGCAGUGGUUGGGUAACCUUUCAUCUCUUCAAUUGUUGCGCCUUUGGAGUUGCCCUAAACUGAUGAGUCUGCCCUCACUGGAAGCAAUUCAACGCCUCACCAAUUUACUAAUAUUAGAUGUGCAUAACUGUCCCCUUUUAAAGAAACGAUGCGAAAAUGGUGAAGAAACGUACAAGAUUGCUCAUAUUCCAUUUAAGAGAUUUAUAUAGGCACCAGUGAACCCUCUGCGAUUACAUUUCAUGAAGAUAAAGCAUGACUAGUCCCUUUUCAAUCAUGUUCUGAUAUUACACAUCAAGACAUUUGGCUGUGGUGAUGUCUGCCUCAGAUUCUUGGAGGCGUUGUGCACUUUGCAAAAUCAGAGGAACUCAUGGCAAGAAAAAUUCUCAGAGAGUUCAGAAUAAUAAGGCUGGGAUGUGAACGGUUGCCGAUUGCAUCAAACUUUUUAAAGGACGCUCAAAGUGAAGCUAUUGCUUACAGACAUCAAUGCCUAAUCUCUGUUAGCGACACAAGCAAAUAAUCCAAAGUAGCCGAGUCGCUAACACUAUCUAUAAGUGUAUAUGAGUAAGUCAAGAGCUUUCUGUUCGAUGAACCAGUCAAUAAUGUCUGAAGUAGCAUUCUUCUUUUAUCACUUGGUUCAUUCUUGGCAAAUUGGUAGCACUUGACAGAUCAAAAGUCGGAUUCUCUGCAAUGAAAUUGGGAUCUCAUUACGAUGAUCGAUUCCUCUCUCCCAUGCUUUCCCAGAUCCAUCAGUUUUACGGCCAUUUUUUUAUCAAAGACAAUUUAUAACAUAGUGUCAAGCAGAAAGGAAAACAAGUUGUUGUGGAACUUAGUCAUGAAUUUUGUGGGCUAGGCAAAAGAAGCUAUUCCUAUCAUGCAUCAUAGGAGGCCAUUUAAAAGAUAGUCGCAAAAACGUAUAUUCGUCUUUAUUUGCUUGAACUUUCAAGUUUGCUUCAUUUGUCAAAAUCAUAAAGGCGCAUUAGUGCUCUAACAUAAUGUGUUCAUCUUCAAGACACAUAUGUUGGUGCUGUGUUGUUAGCAUGGGAAUUACUGUCCUCGCUGCCAAUCCGUAAGGCCAAUUUUUGUAAUAGUGAAAUCUACUUUUGUGGUUUUCCUUAAAUUCUCGAGCCUCCAUUACUAACAGCGUGAUUCUGAUGUUCGAGCAUUUAGCUUGUUGGAGGCAAGUGCUUACAUAAUUGCUCACUCGCAAAUUCAAAAGAAGACAAGCAUAGGAGAAGAGUUACAAUAUUCAGAUUAACGUGCAAUACAUGCUGAUGUACGACAGAUAUUCUGAUCUUGCUACUAGUAUAAGUAUUCACAUGUUCUAGGGAUAUAUCAAUGCAUUACUAAUUUGGGUGCUGCAAAAGGCCACGGGUAGUGUUAGGGAUGGUUCUGAUUUGAUGUUUAUUGUUAUUGAUGGGUUGGUAACUUGGUAUUGGUUCUUUUGUUUGUUUGGUUGGUUGCUGGCCAACUUUGUUCAUUUCCUUUUGGGGUCUAGUGUGGCAUAUGAUUGUCAAGGAUCGUUAGGGAGCCAACUCAGUUUGGGAUUCUUUCUUCUCGUCGUGAUGCUGCCAUGAUCGUGGACUCGUUAAUCUUUGUAAUUAUCAUGCAAUGCAAAGAAUAAUAUGUUAUUUUCUGUUCAAAAAAGUUUGUUUUUUGAACAUAGCACUAGUCAAGGAAGUACUUAACAAACUGCGGGACCAUGGGUAUCAUAGAAUAGAGUAAAACCCUAUUUGUGGUCAUUGAAAAAAUUCAUCAAUUCUAAAUGAAGGUAUAACUUCAUCGCGUGCACGUUCUGUGUCAUUAAUUUAACGGAAAAAUGCACAGUUCAUUAAUUAUGUGAUAUCUUAUUUCUUUGUGUUUUCAUGCGUCGCUUUGUCUAUUUGUGUGUCAUUCAUCCAUGAAGCUAGUAGAUUUCUACCUUUCCUUUUUGUUGGAGCAAACGUCUGAAAAUUGCAUACUUCAAAGCUGUUGAGCUUACUAUUGGUUUCUGAGUUUUUCGCCUUUGGGUUAUAUUCCUCUCUCUCUCUGCGUGUGUGUGCUCGCACGCGAGGGUGUGUGUGUGGUGAGAG